GACGAACGCUGGCGGCGUGCCUAAUACAUGCAAGUCGAGCGAACUUGCGGGAGCUUGCUCCCAAAAGUUAGCGGCGGACGGGUGAGUAACACGUGGGCAACCUGCCUAUAAGACUGGGAUAACUUCGGGAAACCGGAGCUAAUACCGGAUAAUUCUUUUCUACACAUGUAGAAAAGCUGAAAGACGGUUUACGCUGUCACUUAUAGAUGGGCCCGCGGCGCAUUAGCUAGUUGGUGAGGUAACGGCUCACCAAGGCCACGAUGCGUAGCCGACCUGAGAGGGUGAUCGGCCACACUGGGACUGAGACACGGCCCAGACUCCUACGGGAGGCAGCAGUAGGGAAUCUUCCGCAAUGGACGAAAGUCUGAUGGAGCAACGCCGCGUGAGUGAAGAAGGGUUUCGGCUCGUAAAACUCUGUUGUUAAAGAAGAACAGGUGUAAGAGUAACUGUUUACACCGUGACGGUAUUUAACCAGAAAGCCACGGCUAACUACGUGCCAGCCGCCGCCGUAACAC
rnacentral:rRNA from 1 species